GUGAAGUUGGAAUCGCUAGUAAUCGCGGAUCAGCAUGCCGCGGUGAAUACGUUCCCGGGCCUUGUACACACCGCCCGUCACACCAUGAGAGUCGGGAACACCCGAAGUCCGUAGCCUAACCGCAAGGGGGCGCGGCCGAAGGUGGGUUCGAUAAUUGGGGUGAAGUCGUAACAAGGUACC
rnacentral:rRNA from 1 species